CCCGCUGAACUUAAGCAUAUCAAUAAGCGGAGGAAAAGAAACUAACAAGGAUUCCCCUAGUAACUGCGAGUGAAGCGGGAAAAGCUCAAAUUUAAAAUCUGGCGGUCUCGCGGCCGUCCGAGUUGUAAUCUGGAGAAGCGUCUAUCCGCGCCGGACCGUGUACAAGUCUUCUGGAAGGGAGCGUCGUAGAGGGUGAGAAUCCCGUCUUUGACACGGACAACCGAUGCUUUUGCGAUGCGCUCUCCAAGAGUCGAGUUGUUUGGGAAUGCAGCUCAAAAUGGGUGGUAAAUUCCAUCUAAAGCUAAAUAUUGGCGAGAGACCGAUAGCGAACAAGUACCGUGAGGGAAAGAUGAAAAGCACUUUGGAAAGAGAGUUAAACAGUACGUGAAAUUGUUGAAAGGGAAACGUUUGAAGUCAGUCGCGUCGGCCGAGACUCAACCUUGCUCUUCGCUCGGUGCACUUCUCGGUCGACGGGUCAGCAUCAAUUUCGACCGCCGGACAAAGGUCAGGGGAAUGUGGCAUCCUUCGGGAUGUGUUAUAGCCCUAUGAUUCUGCAUACAGCGAUUGCGGAUUGAGGAACUCGGCGCUUCACGCGUCCAGGAUGCUGGCAUAAUGACUUUAAGCGACCCGUCUUGAAACACGG
rnacentral:rRNA from 1 species